rnacentral:rRNA from 1 species
GUGUAGCGAUACAUGGAGCGGACAAAUACUAAUCGAUCGAGGACUUAACCAA